ACCCUCUCCUAAUUUACGCACUUUCACUGGGAACAAAUGGACCCACCUGCCUUUUCACUCAGUGCAGCAGUGGCAUUUGAGAACGUUUAGAGCAGGUGUCUUAGCGGAAAGAUAAGGCCAAUCACACCAUGAGCAAGGAAACUUUCGUACCACGUAAACCUGACACAGAAGACUGUGCUUUGGGCACACUGGGCGCCAAAUGACCACUGCAGUUGGCGCGCCCAAAAACACCAAUAAACAACAAGCGGUCGUCUACGGGACUUGGUCGGCGGCAAGCUACCCGGCUGACAGGAGCACGCAUACCGGGCAGUGGCAGGUGCCAGAUGAUGUAACAAUAGAGGGAGAGAGUGGAUAGAGCCAGUGUUGCAUGCCUCUGGAUGUGACGAUA